rnacentral:lncRNA from 1 species
GGGGCCGAGCCCGCGCCAACCCUUCCCUCCUGCCGCUCUCUGCAGCUGGCAGAGGACAGCAGCAGAGCGGCCGAGCACCUGCGCCGGGCCCUGCCCUACCUGCAGAGCCCACAGGAGCCCCUGCGAGAGGCGGCCGCCAGGUUCAUGGGGGUUGCAGGGCGGUACUUGAGGAGGCAGCAGGAAGAGACCCCGCUCAUCUACAAGGCCCUUCAGGACCUGACUGAUGACAUCAGCCCUGCCAUCUCAAGCUUGGCAAUUCAAACCCUGCAACUCUUAAGAGCUGCACAGAGAGCUCCAUAUUCUUCAGGUUUCAGAAGGUGCAAGACCACUUCCAGGAGAGUGGGGGGUAUGAAACCUCCUCUGUGUGGCAGCUUGUGGAAGUCUAUGAACAACUAAUCCCAGGAGCUCCGUCUGCUCAGGGCAUCUGAGCUGCAGGGAAGACCUCAUCUCAGCAUGGAAAUAUAAAAUCACUGUUGUCAUG